rnacentral:misc_RNA from 1 species
AACGCACUUUGCACCUAAUAUUUUUAAUAUGGGUAUACUUGUUUGAGUUUCAUAGUAAAAUAAUCUUUUUAUUUUUAUUUUUUUAAAAAUAAAAAGGAUUUGGGGUAAUUAAAUUUUUAUAAUCAAAAUUUUUUAAUUUUGAAACCCUAAAAUUUGUAAAUUCUUUUUUAUUUUAUUUUAAAAAAGAAAAAAAUAUAAAAAAUUUUAAGCCAAAAUAAAAAUUAAAAAAAUUUAUAAAUUUUUAAUAAAUUAUUUUUUUUUUUGGGGAAAGUUGGAAACGACUUUACCACAGAUUAAAAACUUAUUUUUUUAAAAAAAUAUAAAAAUAAUUUUUAUUUUUUAAAAUUUUUAUAUAUUUAAUAUUAUAAAAAAAAAAAUCGAACUCAAAUUAAGUAAGGCUACCCGCUGAACUUAA